UCCCUGGUGGCUCAGAUGGUAAAGCGUCUGCCUGCAAUGCAGGAGACCAGGGUUCGAUCCCUGGGUUGGGAA
rnacentral:tRNA from 1 species